rnacentral:rRNA from 1 species
GCUGUCCUACGGGAGGCAGCAGUAGGGAGUCUUCCAGAGUGGGGGAAAGCCUGAUGGAGCAACGCCGCGUGGGUGAAGAAGGUCUUCGGAUCGUAAAACCCUGUUGUUAGAGAAGAAAGUGCGUGAGAGUAACUGUUCACGUUUCGACGGUAUCUAACCAGAAAGCCACGGCUAACUACGUGCCAGCAGCCGCGGUAAUACGUAGGUGGCAAGCGUUAUCCGGAUUUAUUGGGCGUAAAGGGAACGCAGGCGGUCUUUUAAGUCUGAUGUGAAAGCCUUCGGCUUAACCGGAGUAGUGCAUUGGA